rnacentral:rRNA from 1 species
GACGAACGCUGGCGGCGUGCCUAAUACAUGCAAGUGGGACGCAAGGAAACACACUGUGCUUGCACACCGUGUUUUCUUGAGUCGCGAACGGGUGAGUAACGCGUAGGUAACCUGCCUAUUAGCGGGGGAUAACUAUUGGAAACGAUAGCUAAUACCGCAUAAUAUUAAUUAUUGCAUGAUAAUUGAUUGAAAGAUGCAAGCGCAUCACUAGUAUAUGGACCUGCGUUGUAUUAGCUAGUUGGUAAGGUAAGAGCUUACCAAGGCGACGAUACAUAGCCGACCUGAGAGGGUGAUCGGCCACACUGGGACUGAGACACGGCCCAGACUCCUACGGGAGGCAGCAGUAGGGAAUCUUCGGCAAUGGACGAAAGUCUGACCGAGCAACGCCGCGUGAGUGAAGAAGGUUUUCGGAUCGUAAAGCUCUGUUGUAAGUCAAGAACGUGUGUGAGAGUGGAAAGUUCACACAGUGACGGUAGCUUACCAGAAAGGGACGGCUAACUACGUG